UGGGACUACUAGGGUUUCUAAUCCUGUUUGCUCCCCAUGCUUUCGCUCCUCAGCGUCAGUACCGGCCCAGAGCACCGCCUUCGCCACUGGUGUUCCUCCUGAUAUCUGCGCAUUUCACCGCUACACCAGGAAUUCCAUGCUCCCCUACCGGACUCUAGUCAGCGCAGUAUCGGAUGGCGUCUCCGGGUUGAGCCCUGAGUUUUCACAUCCGACUUACGCAACAGCCUACGAGCUCUUUACGCCCAAUAAAUCCGGACAACGCUUGGUCCCUACGUGUUACCGCGGCUGCUGGCACGUAGUUGGCCGGACCUUCUUCUGUGACUACCGUCAUUUUCGUCAUCACUGAAAGAGGUUUACAACCCGAAAGCCGUCAUCCCUCACGCGGCGUUGCUGCGUCAGG
rnacentral:misc_RNA from 1 species